rnacentral:rRNA from 1 species
GAUGAACGCUAGCGGCAGGCUUAAUACAUGCAAGUCGUGGGGUAGAGAGGGGCUUGCUCCUCUUGAGACCGGCAAACGGGUGAGGAACACGUACACAACCUUCCUUUUAGUGGGGGAUAGCCCAGGGAAACUUGGAUUAAUACCCCGUAAUAUGACGAUGAGGCAUCUCAUUGUUAUUAUAGCAGCGAUGCGCUAGAAGACGGGUGUGCGUAUGAUUAGGUAGUUGGCGGGGUAACGGCCCACCAAGCCC